GCCUGGGUGGCUCAGUCGGUUGAGCAUCUGACUUCGGCUCACUCAGGUCACGAUCUCAAAGUUCGUGGGUUCGAGCCCUAUGCCAGGUU
rnacentral:tRNA from 1 species